AAAAAUUUAGUUAAUUUUAUAACAUUAGUUUGUCAAGCUAAAGUAAUUACUAAGUAUUAAUUUUUA
rnacentral:tRNA from 2 species